UGCACCCUGCUCUAGGAGGAGAAGGUGGAUGUGGAGUAGGAGGUUGAGGAGGCGGUGAUUGUGGUGGCAACGACGCAUUCGGUUGUCUGCCCUAUCAACUUUCGAUGUUACUUUCUGCGCCUACCAUGGUGACCAUGGGUAACGGGGAAUCAGGGUUCGAUUCUGGAGAGGGAGUCUGAGAAACGGCUAUUACAUCCAAGGAAGGCAGCA